rnacentral:lncRNA from 1 species
ACCUGCACAGUCUGUAUAAUUUUUACUUGUAUGUAUCUGCUCUCAGGGCAAACCACUUAGGAUAGCUAAUUAGAGAUUUCUUCCCUAGGAAAGAUCAUUCUUUUCUUGCUAUGACUCUAUCUGUUCAACCUUCUCUCCAGACUUAGGAAUUAGAAAACCCUGAAAUGGACUAGAAGAGAAGGAUGAAGAUAGAACGGCGUGUGGAAUGCUCGCUCAGCUUGUUUCUUGAGCAUCACAUCAGCCGAGUGACAGACAUGGCCCCGAGACCUUCAAGGGUUCUCCCCCACUGAGGAACGCGUGUGUAGACCAGUUUUGAUACUUCCUCCCACAGACUCUGCUUUCCUUCCUAAAGACAAACAUACAAGCAGAAACAUGAGAUUUGCACAUGUGAAAAGCGUGCUUCAGCUAAAGUAAACCAGGUAUGAUAGCUGCUGGUCCCCCAGUUACAGCAGCACAGAGCUGUAGAAAACUGCUCUCCCUGUGUGCUCUUAGCUCCUUCAGCAGGAUGGCUCCCCACCAACUC